UAUUUUGAGGAUUUGAUCCUGGUCCAGGAUGAACGCUGGCGGCGUGGAUAAGGCAUGCAAGUCGUACGCCGAGCACAUAACGCAAGUUAUGUGCUUGGAGUGGCGAAUUGGUUAGUAACACGUAGAUAAUCUUCCCUAGGGACGGGCAUAAUCCCGCGAAAGCGGGACUAAUUCCCGAUAGUAAUGAGGGGGCGCAAGCCAUUCUCAUUUAAAGCUUAACGCGCCUUAGGAUGAGUCUGCGGCCUAUCAGCUAGUUGGUGAGGUAACGGCCCACCAAGGCUAUGACGGGUAGGGAGAAUGAGAGUUCGACUCCCAACAAGGGCACUGAGACAUGGGCCCUACUCCUACGGGAGGCAGCAGUCGAGAAUAUUCGGCAAUGGGGGAAACCCUGACCGAGCGACGCCGCGUGCGGGAAGAAGCCCUUCGGGGUGUAAACCGCUUUUCUGAGGGAAGAAUCCCGCUUUUAGCGGGAUGACGGUACCUUAGGAAUAAGGGGAUGCAAAUUCUGUGCCAGCAGCCGCGGUAAUACAGAAUCCCCAAGCGUUAUCCGGAUUUAUUGGGCGUAAAGCGUCUGUAGGCGGUUAGGCCAGUCUUUGAUUAAAUCUCAAGGGCUCAACCUUUGAGCUGUUAAAGAUACUACCUAGCUAGAGGAUGUUAGGGGCUGACGGAACGGUCGGUGUAGGGGUGAAAUCCAUUGAUAUCGACCGGAACACCAAAAGCGAAGGCAGUCAGCUGGGACAAUCCUGACGCUGAGAGACGAAAGCGUGGGCAUAAAAAAGGAUUAGAUACCCUUGUAUUCCACGCCCUAAACUAUGGAUACUGGCUACUUGAAGUGUCGACCCUUCAAGCGGCGAAGCUAACGCGUUAAGUAUCCCGCCUGGGAAGUACGGCCGCAAGGCUAAAACUCAAAGGAAUAGACGGGGACUCACACAAGCGGUGGAUCAUGUGGCUUAAUUCGACAAUAAACGAGGAACCUUACCAGGGCUAGAAAUCCCACUAAAACCCCAUAGAAAUAUGGGACUACCCACAAGGAUAGUGGGACAGGUACUGCAUGGUUGUCGUAAGCAGGUGCCGUGAGGCGCUCCCUUAAAUGGGCAAACCUGCGCAACCCUUACUCUGUGUUUUAAAUGUCACAGAGAACUGCCCGGGAUAACCGGGAGGAAGGUGAGGAUGACGCCAAAUCAGCAUGGUCCUUUGAUGCCCUGGGCUGCACACAUGAUACAAUGGCAAGGACAAUGGGUUGCCAAGCCGUAAGGCGGAGCUAAUCCCAUCAAACCUUGUCUCAGUUCGGAUUGAGGGCUGCAACUCGCCCUCAUGAAGCCGGAAUCGCUAGUAAUCGGGAAUCAGCUAUGUCCCGAUGAAUAUGUUCCUGAGUCUUGUACUCACCGCCGAUGAAAAGAGCUCGGCAGCUUAAUUAACUAAUGGGUGAAAAUCCCAUUCG
rnacentral:rRNA from 1 species